rnacentral:rRNA from 1 species
UAGUAACGGCGAAGUGAAGCGGCAAAAGCUCAAAUUUGAAAUCUGGUACCAUUCGGUGCCCGAGUUGUAAUUUGUAGAAGGCGACUCUGGGGCUGGGACCUUGUCUAUGUUCCUUGGAACAGGACGUCAUAGAGGGUGAGAAUCCCGUGUGGCGAGGCUCCCAGUUCUUUGUAGAGUGCUUUCGAAGAGUCGAGUUGUUUGGGAAUGCAGCUCUAAGUGGGUGGUAAAUUCCAUCUAAAGCUAAAUAUUGGCGAGAGACCGAUAGCGAACAAGUACAGUGAUGGAAAGAUGAAAAGAACUUUGAAAAGAGAGUGAAAAAGUACGUGAAAUUGUUGAAAGGGAAGGGCAUUUGAUCAGACAUGGUGUUUUGCGCCCCUUACUCCUCGUGGGUGAGGGAAUCUCGCAGCUCACUGGGCCAGCAUCAGUUUUGGCGGCAGGAUAAAUCUCUGGGAAUGUAGCUCUGCUCUUCGGGGUGGAGAGUUUAUAGCCCAGGGGAAUACUGCCAGCCGGGACUGAGGAAUGCGACUUUUUUUAGUCAAGGAUGCUGGCAUAAUGGUUAUAUGCCGCCCGUCUUGAAACACGGACCAAGGAGUCUAACGUCUAUGCAAGUGUUUGGGUGUGAAACCCGUACGCGUAAUGAAAGUGAACGUAGGUUGGGGCCCUCUUUUGGGUGCACAAUCGACCGAUCCUGAAGUCUUCGGAUGGAUUUGAGUAAGAGCAUAGCUGUUAGGACCCGAAAGAUGGUGAACUAUGCCUGAAUAGGGUGAAGCCAGAGGAAAACUCUGGUGGAGGCUCGUAGCGGUUCUGACGUGCAAAUCG